rnacentral:rRNA from 1 species
AACGAACGCUGGCGGCAUGCCUAACACAUGCAAGUCGAACGAAACCUUCGGGUCUAUUGUCGCACGGGGUCGUCACGCGUGGGAACCUGCCCUUAUGUUCGGCAUAACUCCCCGACAGGGGUGCUAAUACCGGAUAAUGUCUUCGGACCAAAGAUUUAUCGCCUUUGGUGGUGCCCGAGUUGGAUUAGCUUGUUGGUAGGGUAAAAGACGAUCACGGGGACGAUUCAUAGCUGGUAUGUGAGGAAGAUCAGCCACACUGGGACUAAGAAACGGCCGAGAAUCUUACGGGAGGGAGGAGUGGGGAAUAGUGGAAAAUGGGCGAAAGGAUGAUCCAGCACGGACGCGAGAGUGAUGAAGGCAUUAGGGUUGUAAAGCGCUUGUAACCGGGAUGAUAAUGACAGUACCGGGAGAAUAAGCCACGGCUAACUACGUG